UGGAAUAUGUUAAGAACUUAAGAUGCGCCGAAAGGUUGACUAAUGUAAUUAGAUACAGCUCUUGUUUCACUGCGUUUUUGUUAUCAGGCAGCUCUCCACAUGUCGAGGUUUUAUCCCCCUAAGAAGAAAGUCGGAAGUUUCUGUGGAAUCACGCGCGCGCAUGCUCUCCACAUGUCGAGGUUUUAUCCACCUGAGAAUAAAGUCGGAAGUUUCCGUGGAAUCGCGCGCGCAUGUUAUGCAUAGCAAAACGGAAAGAAAUUCUUCUUUCCGUGCUUCGUAAGCCGGUUCAACCCAUGUCUUCAACAAUGACUUCAGGACCUGAAAUCUUUAAGAAAAAACCUAAGUGUUAAGUAGAUCAUGCAACCAAUGCGACAGAAAGAAAACUUAGAACCAUCAAGUCAGCACCCAAUGGGACGGAACGAUUAUGGUUUCCGUAUAGAAGGUUUCAGGUUUCCUGCCCCAUUGCAGUACAGGUGUACGCUUAAAACAAUUCAAUCAUUCAUGAAAGAUGUAAUGCGACUAUCAUUGGGCCAUCUGACCAGAUCUCCAUCUUUAGUUUCCUUGACCUUCUUAAAUGAUAAAAUGAGGAAACAAUGACCCAAAAAACAUGUCCCUAUGAUGUGCUCCCUGCAUUAAAAUUAUUAGGAGGCUCACAGGAAAAUUGUGCUGUCUUGUUGCACCCUUUCUAGCUAAUCUUGAGGUGGCCACCACCAUCAUGGUCUGUAGUGCUCACUUGCACCUCCCCAUGGCUUAUAAUAGCCCAUAAGUGUAUUGUAGAUUGUGCUUGAGCUUGAGCUAAAGACUGUUCUCAUUGGUCUUAGUACCUAAAGGUCUUGGGCUGAGAGUAAUGGGCAAUGAGAUGGGCAACAACAACGUUAUCGGUCAACAAGGUAUGCAUGUUGCUAAAUACUAUCUGCUUUCUAGGAAUGAGCAUGAAUAUUUUGCUAACCAUCUUCUUAUGUAAUUCUAGUACCAGAGGAGAGUGCUAAGGAUUUCGACAAAACCAUGGCCAACGCAGAUUAUUCACAUGAGCUCAGCAACAUAAAUGGUGAGAAAGGUACUACCUCUGUUUCACAAUAUUUAUCCUGCACGGAAUACCUAGGAGGCAUAAAUUCAACGAAUAUUUGAUGGAAUCAUGUCAAACUUGCUCUUACUAGAAACUCACCACUAUGAAGCUAUGGUCGCUGAUUCAUUGUUCUGUUUAUGUUAGAUACGGAGAAGGAUGUCACUAAGGAUGUAGAUAUGUCAGAGGUAUUAAAGGUCCCCCUCAUCUCUAGUGGUGGAGAUAAGCAUAUGGCUUCAGAUCAAACAAAAUUGUCGGCAGCGAAUGAAGACUUAGAUGGGAAGAAUAGGGGUUCACCUCAGGAUCACGCAUCAACAGAAGAUGAUGAUGGGAAUAAUUACUUACCUACAGAACAAAGUUAGUUCAGCCGGCUGAUAUCAUACCUACUAUAACUUUAUUUUUGUAAUGUAAUACCUCAUAUGAGAAUCGUGGUUUAAUAUUAAAAGCUCGGAAAUGGCUAUUUCCGUAUGAGGUAGUAAGAAAAAUCUAGAGAUUUAAUACACAAAAUUUUCCAUACAAGUUAACUUCUAGUUAGAAUUCAGUGGAAUGUAAUCUGGAGUUCAAUAAUCACUAUAAUGCUAUUAUCACUCAUUCAUUAUUCUGUUUAUGUUAGAUAAGGAGAAGGAUGGCGCUAAGGAUUUGGAUAUGUCAGAGGUGCUAAAGGCCCCUGUCAUUUCUAAUGGUGGAGAUGAUCAAAUGGCUUCAGAUCAAACAAAAAUCUCUGCUGCAAAUGAAGACUUAGAUGAGAAGAACAGGGGCUCACUUGAGGAUCAUACAUCAACACAAGAUGAUGGAAACCGUAACUUAUCUACAGAACAAGGUUAGUUCAGCUGGUUGAUACAGUUCGUAACUAGCUUGUUUUGCUGUCUUUCGUACAAUAGUUCCAUUUUCGUGCUUUAAUAAGCCAUUUAAAACUGGUUUAGUAUGAGAAAUACGUGUGCUUGAGAAAAUUAAUGGUGAUUUUAGGAUGAGAUAGUAAGAAAAGCCUAUGGUUCGAAAGAAUGCCAGUGCUACCUAGCUACCCACCUAAUGUUUUUUCGAAAAGAGGGGAAAAUCCUCUGGCUCUGUAUUGAGUGAUGCACGGCUAUCCACCUAAUAAGAAGUACAUUAUGUUUCUAUGAAUAACUAUACUUGAACUUCAGAAUGUAUAAUUGUCCACUAGAAACAUAGGCAGUUAAGCAUUUCUCAGCAGUAAUUGUUUUUACCUUCAGCACUAUAAGCUCGACUAAUAAAAGCAAGUAAUCUGGCACAGGUGAUGAAACACAGGAGGACAGUGGAACUGAAACAGCCACAAAUUCUGCAGAAACAGUUGCCCAUGUCGGCACCACAACUGAAGAUAUAACAAGCAACAAGGAUACUUCAUCAGCUAAUGAGCAAUUCACACAACUUGAACACGAAACUACAGAGAAAAAUGAAGAAAAUACCACUGCAAAUCCCGCCAUGUUGUU
rnacentral:lncRNA from 1 species